ensembl:miRNA
UUUAGUAUAAGUAUACACCCCCAUGCAAUGUUUGGGAUAUACUUAUACUAAA